GAUGAACGCUGGCGGCGUGCCUAAUACAUGCAAGUCGAGCGAACAGACGAGGAGCUUGCUCCUCUGACGUUAGCGGCGGACGGGUGAGUAACACGUGGAUAACCUACCUAUAAGACUGGGAUAACUUCGGGAAACCGGAGCUAAUACCGGAUAAUAUAUUGAACCGCAUGGUUCAAUAGUGAAAGACGGUUUUGCUGUCACUUAUAGAUGGAUCCGCGCCGCAUUAGCUAGUUGGUAAGGUAACGGCUUACCAAGGCAACGAUGCGUAGCCGACCUGAGAGGGUGAUCGGCCAAACUGGAACUGAGACACGGUCCAGACUCCUACGGGAGGCAGCAGUAGGGAAUCUUCCGCAAUGGGCGAAAGCCUGACGGAGCAACGCCGCGUGAGUGAUGAAGGUCUUCGGAUCGUAAAACUCUGUUAUUAGGGAUGAACAAAUGUGUAAGUAACUAUGCACGUCUUGACGGUACCUAAUCAGAAAGCCACGGCUAACUACGUG
rnacentral:rRNA from 1 species